ACCCGGAGAACUGAAACAUCUUAGUACCCGGAGGAAGAGAAAGAAAAUUCGAUUCCCUUAGUAGCGGCGAGCGAAACGGGAAGAGCCCAAACCAACAAGCUUGCUUGUUGGGGUUGUAGGACACUCUAUACGGAGUUACAAAGGACGACAUUAGACGAAUCAUCUGGAAAGAUGAAUCAAAGAAGGUAAUAAUCCUGUAGUCGAAAAUGUUGUCUCUCUUGAGUGGAUCCUGAGUACGACGGAGCACGUGAAAUUCCGUCGGAAUCUGGGAGGACCAUCUCCUAAGGCUAAAUACUCUCUAGUGACCGAUAGUGAACCAGUACCGUGAGGGAAAGGUGAAAAGCACCCCGGAAGGGGAGUGAAAUAGAACCUGAAACCGUGUGCUUACAAGUAGUCAGAGCCCGUUAAUGGGUGAUGGCGUGCCUUUUGUAGAAUGAACCGGCGAGUUACGAUUUGAUGCAAGGUUAAGCAGUAAAUGUGGAGCCGUAGCGAAAGCGAGUCUGAAUAGGGCGUUUAGUAUUUGGUCGUAGACCCGAAACCAGGUGAUCUACCCUUGGUCAGGUUGAAGUUCAGGUAACACUGAAUGGAGGACCGAACCGACUUACGUUGAAAAGUGAGCGGAUGAACUGAGGGUAGCGGAGAAAUUCCAAUCGAACCUGGAGAUAGCUGGUUCUCUCCGAAAUAGCUUUAGGGCUAGCCUCAAGUGAUGAUUAUUGGAGGUAGAGCACUGUUUGGACGAGGGGCCCCUCUCGGGUUACCGAAUUCAGACAAACUCCGAAUGCCAAUUAAUUUAACUUGGGAGUCAGAACAUGGGUGAUAAGGUCCGUGUUCGAAAGGGAAACAGCCCAGACCACCAGCUAAGGUCCCAAAAUAUAUGUUAAGUGGAAAAGGAUGUGGCGUUGCCCAGACAACUAGGAUGUUGGCUUAGAAGCAGCCAUCAUUUAAAGAGUGCGUAAUAGCUCACUAGUCGAGUGACACUGCGCCGAAAAUGUACCGGGGCUAAACAUAUUACCGAAGCUGUGGAUUGUCCUUUGGACAAUGGUAGGAGAGCGUUCUAAGGGCGUUGAAGCAUGAUCGUAAGGACAUGUGGAGCGCUUAGAAGUGAGAAUGCCGGUGUGAGUAGCGAAAGACGGGUGAGAAUCCCGUCCACCGAUUGACUAAGGUUUCCAGAGGAAGGCUCGUCCGCUCUGGGUUAGUCGGGUCCUAAGCUGAGGCCGACAGGCGUAGGCGAUGGAUAACAGGUUGAUAUUCCUGUACCACCUAUAAUCGUUUUAAUCGAUGGGGGGACGCAGUAGGAUAGGCGAAGCGUGCGAUUGGAUUGCACGUCUAAGCAGUAAGGCUGAGUAUUAGGCAAAUCCGGUACUCGUUAAGGCUGAGCUGUGAUGGGGAGAAGACAUUGUGUCUUCGAGUCGUUGAUUUCACACUGCCGAGAAAAGCCUCUAGAUAGAAAAUAGGUGCCCGUACCGCAAACCGACACAGGUAGUCAAGAUGAGAAUUCUAAGGUGAGCGAGCGAACUCUCGUUAAGGAACUCGGCAAAAUGACCCCGUAACUUCGGGAGAAGGGGUGCUCUUUAGGGUUAACGCCCAGAAGAGCCGCAGUGAAUAGGCCCAAGCGACUGUUUAUCAAAAACACAGGUCUCUGCUAAACCGUAAGGUGAUGUAUAGGGGCUGACGCCUGCCCGGUGCUGGAAGGUUAAGAGGAGUGGUUAGCUUCUGCGAAGCUACGAAUCGAAGCCCCAGUAAACGGCGGCCGUAACUAUAACGGUCCUAAGGUAGCGAAAUUCCUUGUCGGGUAAGUUCCGACCCGCACGAAAGGCGUAACGAUUUGGGCACUGUCUCAACGAGAGACUCGGUGAAAUCAUAGUACCUGUGAAGAUGCAGGUUACCCGCGACAGGACGGAAAGACCCCGUGGAGCUUUACUGUAGCCUGAUAUUGAAAUUCGGCACAGCUUGUACAGGAUAGGUAGGAGCCUUUGAAACGUGAGCGCUAGCUUACGUGGAGGCGCUGGUGGGAUACUACCCUAGCUGUGUUGGCUUUCUAACCCGCACCACUUAUCGUGGUGGGAGACAGUGUCAGGCGGGCAGUUUGACUGGGGCGGUCGCCUCCUAAAAGGUAACGGAGGCGCUCAAAGGUUCCCUCAGAAUGGUUGGAAAUCAUUCAUAGAGUGUAAAGGCAUAAGGGAGCUUGACUGCGAGACCUACAAGUCGAGCAGGGUCGAAAGACGGACUUAGUGAUCCGGUGGUUCCGCAUGGAAGGGCCAUCGCUCAACGGAUAAAAGCUACCCCGGGGAUAACAGGCUUAUCUCCCCCAAGAGUUCACAUCGACGGGGAGGUUUGGCACCUCGAUGUCGGCUCAUCGCAUCCUGGGGCUGUAGUCGGUCCCAAGGGUUGGGCUGUUCGCCCAUUAAAGCGGUACGCGAGCUGGGUUCAGAACGUCGUGAGACAGUUCGGUCCCUAUCCGUCGUGGGCGUAGGAAAUUUGAGAGGAGCUGUCCUUAGUACGAGAGGACCGGGAUGGACAUACCUCUGGUGUACCAGUUGUCGUGCCAACGGCAUAGCUGGGUAGCUAUGUGUGGACGGGAUAAGUGCUGAAAGCAUCUAAGCAUGAAGCCCCCCUCAAGAUGAGAUUUCCCAACUUCGGUUAUAAGAUCCCUCAAAGAUGAUGAGGUUAAUAGGUUCGAGGUGGAAGCAUGGUGACAUGUGGAGCUGACAAAUACUAAUCGAUCGAAGACUUAAUCAA
rnacentral:rRNA from 1 species